rnacentral:rRNA from 1 species
UACGGAGGGUGCAAGCGUUAUCCGGAUUCACUGGGUUUAAAGGGUGCGUAGGCGGGUAGGUAAGUCCGUGGUGAAAUCUCUGAGCUUAACUCAGAAACUGCCGUGGAUACUAUUUGCCUUGAAUAUUGUGGAGGUGAGCGGAAUAUGUCAUGUAGCGGUGAAAUGCUUAGAUAUGACAUAGAACACCAAUUGCGAAGGCAGCUCACUACACAACGAUUGACGCUGAGGCACGAAAGCGUGGGGAUCAAACAGG